rnacentral:rRNA from 1 species
GACGAACGCUGGCGGCGUGCUUAACACAUGCAAGUCGAACGAAGAGCGAUGGAAGCUUGCUUCUAUCAAUCUUAGUGGCGAACGGGUGAGUAACGCGUAAUCAACCUGCCCUUCAGAGGGGGACAACAGUUGGAAACGACUGCUAAUACCGCAUACGAUCUAAUCUCGGCAUCGAGGAUAGAUGAAAGGUGGCCUCUACAUGUAAGCUAUCACUGAAGGAGGGGAUUGCGUCUGAUUAGCUAGUUGGAGGGGUAACGGCCCACCAAGGCGAUGAUCAGUAGCCGGUCUGAGAGGAUGAACGGCCAAAUUGGGACUGAGACACGGCCCAGGCUCCUACGGGAGGCAGCAGUGGGGAAUCUUCCGCAAUGGACGAAAGUCUGACGGAGCAACGCCGCGUGAGCGAUGACGGCCUUCGGGUUGUAAAGCUCUGUUAAUCGGGACGAAAGGCCUUCUUGCGAAUAGUGAGAAGGAUUGACGGUACCGGAAUAGAAAGCCACGGCUAACUACGUG